ensembl:lncRNA
ACUCUUUUAUAUACACACACACACACACACACACACACAUGCGCUUCAUGCUAUAAAAGAUUUAUUACAUGGUGUAAUGGGGUACCUGGCAAACAGUGUGAGCUGGUGAUUAAAUACAGGUCUGUAAAUGUCACUUGUUUUUUAAUGCCAUGGCAACAGAGCCACUAUUUUUAUUUUUGUUUGGUCUUAAUUGUCACUGCCGGUUGGCUCGUUAUGCCCUAUGCUACUUUAUUACAGCAUUGUAUCCUGGCUGGUUGUGUAGAACAGGAUGCUUCACAUUUAAAUAAAAGAGAGAAAGAGGUACAAAAAUUUAUAAAGUGUAGUACAGUAGAUUUAGAAUUUCAAUGUACUGGAGGACGUAAAUCGCAAUGUUAAUUGCCACAUUGAGAGAAAUAGGGCUUACAAACAGGGGAAUACUAAGAGAUGGAGGACAUUACCUUGUGAAGCUAAAUAAAAAAAUAUUUAUAAUUGCACCAGUAGCGCUAAUCGUAGUUUGCUCAAAGACAUGGAUGGCUUGUAGGGAGAAGACCAGACUGGGUUGUAUGGAAGUACAUGGUCCUUGUGAGAACAAGAUCAGAUCCCCUGUCACCCCCUAACCAAAUAUCUGAAAUGUUCUAAUGCCUGUUUACAACUACACUGUAUAAUACAAAAAGCAAAAAUCUCAACCUCAACCAUUCCAAAUAAGAUGAUAUAGACUUACCACUGCUGAUACUUCCUUAUCUGCAGCAUACCCAAAUCCUAUACCACAGUUACAUGACAUGCAUAUUCAUAACUGCGCUCCUCCUUCAUCAGCAUCUGCUUCAUCUGUGACCAAUCACAACAUUAUUUUGAAAUUUAUUAGGCCUGUAUUCAUAAGUAUUUUUUAGGCCUGCUUUCACUGUGGACCUAUAGACCUAUAUCUCAGGACUAGUGGUUGCAAAAUGGGAACACAUCCUGGGCGGGACACCAGUCCAUUGCAGGGCAAAGUGCACACACACAUGCAGAGCUAAGAGCAAUAUACUGUUGCUAAUCAACACCACACAGACAGUAAAUCAACCGCUGGAUCAAACCAGGGAUCCUGGAACGGUAAGGUGGCAAUGCUUGUCUGUAGGUCAGGUCUGUGCAACUAUAAAAUUCAUGACAUCAUUAUCAGCAUAUGGGUCCCAUGGCAGAGAUGGACACUAAUUUCCAUAGCUUGCAUAUACAGUAAGAAAGAUCAGCAAGUCGUGAGCACUCUUGGCCCACAAUGAAGUUUAUCGUUACCCACAGAGAGUUAAAGUGUGAGAGUUCGGUGUGCUGUGGAUCAAAUAGAAAUCUGCUACAUGUGGCAUUGUGCUCUCUGGGUCUCUCCCUUUUCCAUUCAGCCACUUCUGACAGGGUAGAAAUAUACAGCCUGAGUGCCCUUUUUCCUAAUGGAAGUGAGCAUCUUUCAUGGUUAAGAGUGCGAAAGAAGCUGUCCCAUAGAUUUCUUGCCAAUAACAGGAACUAGUUGCUGGGUAAAGCUGGUACCAUUCUGGGCUGAUAGUGGGCUCAGUCAGGGCUGCCUUCUUUAAUGGCUCUCUUCCCAAAAAUCGAUGUUUCCAUAUAAAACUGCAUGGUGUAUGUAAAUGAUCAAGUGAAUGGUUAUGGCAACAAGAUAUCUAAGGUUUCUUGAUUGCAUUUCAACAAUUAUGCGAGAAACAUGAAGUGCUCCGCUGAAAUGCACCCACCAUGAUACUGCAUGGCACUACUAGGUUCUAUUUUAUAUCUAAUUUUACAACAGAACACACAGCAGUAAAGCUGUGGUAAUGUGCCUUCACAAAUGGGUGAAAAGAUAAUGCUUUUGUCUGUCUUGCUGUUCCUGAUGUCGUUAUGGAUGUUGAUUUGCAACUGACAUUUACCGCUUUUACCAAGACUUCCCUAUUCCCCCCUCCCUAUCUUGCCAAUUAGCUGCAUGGUCACAGAGGAUGUUGUUUGGCAUAUUUGGCUGUGUGCAGAUUGAAUUUGCUCCAGGGUUGGGUUCAGCUCUCAGCAGCGCAAAUGAUUAUCUGACCAUCUUGUAUAGAGCAGUAAUGGAACAGUUAUGCCACAGCCAGUCCUGUUAACAACAAGAAUGGUCCUGUUUAAAAACACCCAUUUCUGAGAGUCAAUUUCAGGAUGAAUAAGACCAGCAACAUGGAAACUGCAGAAGAACAAGGAGGAAGGUGUUACCAAUGCAAUGAAAUGCUACACAGAACAGAUGGACCUUCGUUCAAGCAUUUGAGCCACUGAUUAAAUGAUUCUAAUGUGACAAUUCUCUCUCUCUCUCUCUCUCUCUCUCUCUCUCUCUCUCUCUCUCUCUCUCUCGCUUGCUCAUUGUUUUUCUUUCCCAGGCCUUGAACAUUAUUUCCCUCCCUCGCCUCUGGAAAGGCAGGACUGCCCGACUCCAACUCAGCCUUGGUGAUAACAGACCACCAGAUAAACACCAAAAGCUUUUAACUUAAUUCUGUUUGUGUGUGAGAUCAAUUAGCUUUUCAACAGAGUCAUUCCUCUGAUUAUUUGGCCCUGUUUUUAAUUAUACAGUGAUGCUGCAGGCUGUGCAAAAUCACAGAAAACUCACCCUGGAUGAAGAGGACUUAAGGCUUACUGUGCUUGAUGUAGUUGUGGUAGGAGGUGUCACGCAUUGGUGAGUCUCUGCUCAUAAUAUUUCAGUGCAGUUGCUGAAUCAGGCUGUAUUUCAUGUUGCUAAAAUGAUUUUUUUUUUGGAAAGCCAACACUUCCAUGUGCUCACAAGACUCUUAUGCUAGCACAAGGUAGUGCUAGCAUAAGAUCUUGAUCAUACAACACUUUUUAUGAACAUGUAUUAAUAGCCAUACAGUUCAGCCUACUCCCUGGCAAGUCUCUCAAUGGGCUACAGAGCACAACAUGUUCCACUUUUAGGAAUGUAAUACAUCAUGCAAAUCAAUCACUAUGUGUCCAACACACUCCACACAGUAAGAGCAGACACAGACCUUUUAUGGCCUCAUAUGCAUAUCAUCUUUCUGCUCUAGGCUAAACUGCCUCUGUUGAAGCAAGAGCAAUGUGAAAGCCCCUUUUCUUCUUCUUCUCUUUUUUUAAUAGUCAUGCCCCUUUGGUAUUCAACUUAACAAAGAGAUAAGCUUUUGCAUAUGUGCAGAAUUAAUCUAUUUCGUUGCUUAUUUUACUGGGAAUAAUAACUUUCAUGGAGAUCUGUGAUAAGUGUAUACAAAUCAUGGCAGUGGCUCAGUAACUGAAAGUUUACUUAUUGUUGUAAUGGCUUUGGCUCAAACAAGAAAAGAGAGGAAACUUUUGAAAGAAAGGAUGAAUAAAUAAGGCCAUUUACUAGUGUUUCACUACCAGUUCUCCAUAUAUCUAUCUUACACGUGACCCUCUGAUGCACUCGAUUCAGUGCUUAUGGCUCUGAGCUUGUGAUCCAAAGCUUGUGACUCUGAGAGCCUCUGAUGGGCCCUUGAGCAAGAUUCUUCUCCACCAACUGCUCACCUGUAUGCUUGGAUUGUAUCCUUUCUCAAUUGUAGAUUGCUUUUGAUAAAAACAAAUGACAAAUGAAAAAGUGUCAAAUGGUGUGUAUUUCUUUCUCCUUUGUCCAGCAGGUUUUUUUUUUGUGUGUGUGUGUUUGUCUAAUUUCCCCCCUUUAAACUUUAAAGUAUUAACAGCUCUCCAGGUCUGUUCAAAUGGAACUGUAACUCAAGAAGCUACAAUCAUCAAUUUAAAGGGCAAUUAUAUGAUCAUGUGAAUGACGCAUUGGCCACCUGAAGCUUCCUGGCUCACAACCAUGACAUUCUCUACUCUUGACUGUAAGGUUUGUGGCUUUAUCUUGUAUCUGCCUGUAGAUAAAAUGCCUUUGAAGAAAGUUUGUCCUUGUGUUUUAUGUGCUAGUGUGUGUUUACACGUUCAUGUGUACAAGACAUACUGGUUGGUGUUUAGACCACCAGGCAGGAUGAUGGAGAUUUUGCAUGAAAGUCACCUGGCUGAUGCUGGUCCUGUGUUCAAUAUGAAGAUGAGGUGGGUCCUUCUGCCCCCACCACGAGCACCUUAAUUGCUGCAGGGAUGAUUCGCAAAAGACAGAUAAACUAUCAGAUCAGGCAGCCCACAUCACACACUCCAUCUCCAUACAGGUGUGAUGGUCCAGCAGUUUCCUUUACCAUUAAUCUGAAAAGCAUUGAACAGUUUGCAUCAGGGUGAGAAUGCACGACAGUCCAGACAUCAACAGCUAACAAAACAAAGCUUCAGCAUGGGGGAAACAAGUGGCAGCGUGGACAGUUGGUGUUAUAAUUACAUCUUAAACGGGUCAUUAGAAGAAGGUCAACUUGUUGUGACAUCGCACCUGGUGGCCAACCCGUUGAAGAUGGCUAAGAAAGAUUAGUGCUAGCACUCAAUUGGACACAUCUUGAUCAAACUCAUUACAACUCACAGCAAGCCAUCAUGAUAAAAAAAGAGUGAAAGGGAUAAAAAGCCUACUUCAUGAGGAGUGAAAUCAAAAUGCUGACGUAAAUAAUAGCUUGGACAAUCAGUUUGAAGCAGGCUUCAAAAGGGGCACCCAGUAUGGUUGGAAACUUUCUCUCUAUGCUUUUCAUUGCAGGUGUUUCUUAAUUAACAGAGGCCCACUUCAUAAGACACCCUAUGCCAUUAAUGCCACAUCACAGUCCUGAUGUCUGAUUACCAGCAUGUGGACAAAAUUACCAUACUUUCCAGCUCCUCCUCUCUGGAACAGCCUCGUGGUCCACAUUAGAUCUUGUGAUGAAAUUGAAUCUUUU